rnacentral:rRNA from 1 species
UACGUAGGGGGCAAGCGUUGUCCGGAAUCAUUGGGCGUAAAGAGCGUGUAGGCGGCCAGAUAAGUCCGCUGUGAAAUCUCGAGGCUCAACUUCGAGCUGUCGGUGGAAACUGUCUGGCUAGAGUCCGGAAGAGGAGAAUGGAAUCCUGGUGUAGCGGUGAAAUGCGCAGAUAUCAGGAGGAACACCGAUGGCGAAGGCAGGUCUCUGGGCCAUUACUGACACUGAGAAGCGAAAGCAUGGGGAGCGAACAGG